GACGGGUGAGUAACGCGUGGGAACGUGCCUUCUGGUUCGGAAUAACCCUGGGAAACUAGGGCUAAUACCGGAUACGCCCUUUUGGGGAAAGGUUUACUGCCGGAAGAUCGGCCCGCGUCUGAUUAGCUAKUUGGUGGGGAAACGGCCUACCAAGGCGACGAUCAGUAGCUGGUCUAAAAGGAUGAUCAGCCMCACUGGGACUGAAACCCGSCCCAAACUCCUACGGGAGGCAGCAUGGGGGAAUAUUGGACAAGGGGCGCAAGCCUGAUCCACCCUUGCCSCGUGAGUGAGGAAGGCCUUAGGGUUGUAAAGCUCUUUUAUCGGGAACGAUAUGAACGGUACCGAAGAAAUAAGCCCCGGCAAACUUCGUGCGCCGCGKUA
rnacentral:rRNA from 1 species